UACGUAGGGUGCAAGCGUUGUCCGGAAUUAUUGGGCGUAAAGAGCUCGUAGGCGGUUUGUCGCGUCUGCUGUGAAAACGCGAGGCUCAACCUCGCGCCUGCAGUGGGUACGGGCAGACUAGAGUGCGGUAGGGGAGAUUGGAAUUCCUGGUGUAGCGGUGGAAUGCGCAGAUAUCAGGAGGAACACCGAUGGCGAAGGCAGAGUCUCGGGACCGUAACUGACGGCUGAGGAGACGAAAGCGUGGGGGAGCGAACAGG
rnacentral:rRNA from 1 species